CUUGGUUUAGGAUAAAAGGUCAUGUCAAAUUUUUUAAUCUUGCUCCUGUUAAUCAAGAAGGACAUAGGAUUGGAGGGGAAUAUGAUGAUCUCCAUUUGAAAUCCCUUGAGGAUUUGUCUUGCUUAAAGGAGCUACCCAUUCACUGUCAACAAGGUGUGCACUAUUCCUGAAGUGGCUGACAAGUAUAUUCCUAAGGAUUGGGUGAACAGAUUUUUGAAUCGGAUGUGAAAUUGUCUGAUCUUCUUUUUGGAAAUGAUCUUGCUGAGGUUUCUCAUAAUGCUUUUCUCACUCCUGAUCUGCCAACUGCUACUAAUGGGAAAGGUCUUGAAUGGGUUGCUGAAGGCUGUGUAAAGAGAUGCUUGGACUUGGAGUUUGAAGAGUGUGA